rnacentral:rRNA from 1 species
GAUGAACGCUGGCGGCGUGCCUAAUACAUGCAAGUCGAGCGAAUGGAUUGAGAGCUUGCUCUCAAGAAGUUAGCGGCGGACGGGUGAGUAACACGUGGGUAACCUGCCCAUAAGACUGGGAUAACUCCGGGAAACCGGAGCUAAUGCCGGAUAAUAUUUUGAACUGCAUGGUUCGAAAUUGAAAGGCGGCUUCGGCUGUCACUUAUGGAUGGACCCGCGUCGCAUUAGCUAGUUGGUGAGGUAACGGCUCACCAAGGCAACGAUGCGUAGCCGACCUGAGAGGGUGAUCGGCCACACUGGGACUGAGACACGGCCCAGACUCCUACGGGAGGCAGCAGUAGGGAAUCUUCCGCAAUGGACGAAAGUCUGACGGAGCAACGCCGCGUGAGUGAUGAAGGCUUUCGGGUCGUAAAACUCUGUUGUUAGGGAAGAACAAGUGCUAGUUGAAUAAGUUGGCACCUUGACGGUACCCUCAAAGGAAGCACCGGCUAACCACGUGCCAGCCGCCGCGGUAAAAC